GGGCCCGUAGCUCAGCGGUCAGAGCAGUCGGCUCAUAACCGGUUGGUCGAAGGUUCAAAUCCUUCCGGGCCCACCA
rnacentral:tRNA from 7 species